rnacentral:rRNA from 1 species
AACGACGGGGUCUAGAGUUGUUCGGAUUUACUGGGCGUAAAGCGCAUGUAGGCGGGUCGUUAAGUCGGGGGUGAAAGCCCAGAGCUCAACUCUGGAACUGCCUUCGAUACUGGCGACCUGGAGCAGGUCAGAGGCGAGUGGAAUUGCGAGUGUAGAGGUGAAAUUCGUAGAUAUUCGCAGGAACACCAGUGGCGAAGGCGACCCGCUGGGACUUUGCUGACGCUGAGAUGCGAAAGCGUGGGGAGCAAACAGG